AUAAAGCCCUGGAAAGUGAAGUCCUUUUUCUGUCCAUUAAUCAGGCACAGAAUGGAUGGGAAAGCAAAAGGUUCACCAGCCAGGCUACGUGCUGUUCUCCCAAUAUGCCUGCAUUGAGACCUGGGUGUGCCCUCUCCCAUGUGACAGGGUAGAUUUUGUUUUCUUGUCCAUUUAUUUCCUGGCAUCU
ensembl:misc_RNA